CAAUUAACUGAACCUGUGAAAGAAUGAGAAUUUAAUUUUUAUAUUUUCUGUGCAAAAUGCAGCUAUUGUCUCAGAUUCUCAUUUAUGCAGUAAGCUUUGCAGGUACAAAACUGAGGUACUUAACAAUUUGUAAAUGUUUUUGUAACUUUGGUCCUUUCUUUAUUUCAGAUUCAACGUGUUACAAACAAACAUAUUCCACCUGUUACAACAAUCUGGCAUAUUACUUUCUUGAUACGUGAUGAUACAAUACCUCUCAGGUUUGCUGAGUAGCAAAGAGAAAUGUGCUAUAACUAGCACAGAGUACAAGAAGAGUUAUACCUUUGUAUUCAUUCUUCUGCCAUGUUACUGAAAUAACAGAAAACUCGUGUGAUACCUUUGGACAGCAAUGCAGUGCUUUCUCACCCUGUCCUCUGUCAUAUCUACAAGAACAUGUGUCCUUUCAAGACCUAGGCAAAAUAUUCUCCUGCUUGCUUCAGAACAGAGACCUGAUUUGGAAAGCUAUCUUCCUUCCUGAUCAAAGAAUUGCAGGGCAGAACAGAGUACCACAGAAACAUUCACAUAGCUGAAAGGGCUGUCUUAUAAAGAAUGAUAACAGUUAGUUGCACAUUCAUUUUGCAUAGGUGUAAGUGUACCACAUAUAUGAAUAUUCUUGUUGACAAAUCUAUUUAUGUGUAUGUGUAUAUGUAUUCAGAAGCUCUGGUUUGCCUCCAGUCAUUGUAGGUGACUCUUCUCAUGUGCAUUAUAGUUACAAAAGUAUAAUUUUAAGCAGAGAUAAUACUGAAAAGAAUUGUUUGUUUAGCUAAAGGCAAGUAAUAGGUUAGGUAAGAAUCAUUAAACAGGCCAUAACAGCAAUUUAUAUUCACUAGAAAGGUGUAAAAAAUAGGGCAGGAGAUAAAUGUUAUUUAAUGUGAUAGAUAGGAGUGAUAUUAAGACUAGUUGAAUAAAAGUAGUGAAAGAAAGUUUAGGCUGUCUACCUGAAAAAAUCUGGGGAGCAAACUAGUUGCACUAAAUGACUGUAUAAUCUCUACGGGGAAGCAUUAACAAUCCAAUUGCUUGAGAUUUUUGAGAGGUCAAAGGAUCAGCAAAAUACGUGGUGGGGAAGAAGCUUGAAUUGGCAGGUAGAUGGAUCACCUGACCUAUUAGUUCUUUUCUAUUGCAAACUUCUAUGACUUUAUGUGGGGAAAAUUCCUUUUCAACCCACGCUGGCAAUCUGUUUAUGUUCUGAAGUAUGAUGAUUGACAUCCCUUUUAACUUUUAACCUAGAGAAUGUCUCUGCAAGUGUUAUUCCUACAUAUAAAUGUCUAAUGCUUUUAAUAAAAAAAAAAAAGUCUCUCAAUUAGGGGACUGUAUCCAUGUGCAAAUGCAGAAUGGAGAUCACAACAGAGUCUGAGGUGUUAUAGCGGCAUGGGCAGAACUCCCACUCAGGAAGGAUGGGAUGUUGAGAAGGAAAAGGGAGCAUUUGGGGCUUAAAGACUAGAGAGACAGUGGAGGCAAACAAGUGAAAAUUGGAUUAAAACAGUCAGAAAGAAAGGUAUCAUUUUUGUUGAAAGGGGGAAUAAGAAAAUAAGAGAAAUGUGGUGGUAAAAAAGUAUAAGAACAGAGAAGUGAGAUAGGAAGGGAGAACUAAUUUAUGGAGUAGAAGAACAAGAAGAACAAAUAACGAUGUGCUCCUGUUAAUAUGGUGACAGAGUACUUCCUAUCUGUAAGUGUUUACACUUGGUUCAUCCACAUGAAAGCUUUCUUUUUUUUUUUUUUCAAACAGUGUAAUACUUAGUAAGCAUCUCUGAAGUACAGUGUGUGUAUUUUUGUAACAAACAGUGUAUUUCACAACUAAACCCCAGCCUAUCCACCUUUCUUGUUAAAGCCCAUCAAGAGAUAAGAGCUUGUAUAAAACUAUAGCACCCUAGUAGAAAGAAAUGUCAUAUUCUGCCAGUCUUUACUUCAUUUUGCCCUGAAUUGAUGGACUGGUGAUGGGUGGGAAAACAUCACGAAAGAAAUUCUUAAGAAAUGCUAAACUAGCAAAACUUAAUAUAUUUAAAUAAUAUUACCAAAAACGUUCUUCAAAUUUUAUGGCAUUAAACUAAAGCCCAGACUAUAAAAAGACAAAAUUAUUACAGAGAUUUCCAGUUACUCAAAAAUAUCUUUGUGAUGUUACUUGUUCUGACUUAAAGAACUUUGUUGAAGCAUCAACUUCAUUUCUGUUGAGGGCUGUAAAAAAGAUUGAAGCCGGGGCCUGGAAUAUGAACAAACAAUGCUUCUAAGUUAGUGCCCCACAGAAUAUUUUAAAAUUAUUUAACACAAAUCAUCUCAGUGUCAACAACUCAUCACAGAUAAACUAUCUAAUUAACAGAAGCCAUCAUAGUAUUUGAGAACUCAGUCUUGGCUCAGUUGAUAUACCAGAAGGGCACUCCUUGAUAAGCAAAAAUUAUAAAGGAAGGUUUAAAAAACAUUACUGCCUGAAAGUAGCUUCGUCUUAGUUUUAAAUUAACCCUCUGCUAGGUUGGGGUUUUUAGUUUGUUUGGCAUUUCUUUUAAUCUCUAUGAGAUAACAAGCACAGGUUGACCUCAUAUUCUUAGGUAUAUUCCAUGCUAAGAUUCUGUGAAAUUGGCUAUUUUGUGAUGCAAUAUUUUUUUAGUGUCAUAGACUUGAAACCAUGCCAAAAUGACAGCUCAGUUAACAAAAGUGUCCCCAGCUUUCGUAACCACUUCUGAGACAGUUUUAUCCCACUUCCUUAAAAUUGUAAAGGUUGUCAAAAUCUUGAGGUUAUAAAACUUUACUGCAAAACAUUUUUAGGCAUCAAAACAUUGACUGGUUCUUACAGCACCAAACCUGCCACUGACUGGAAUCCAGGUGCUUCAUUUCCCUAUAUGAAGUCUGUGGGGAGAGAAAGCUGACAAUGGGAUCCAUAAAACCAUAACAUAGACUAAAUGUUAUCAAAAUAGCUCGUGGAAAAUAGCUGCAAAGAGAGAUUUCUCCUAAGUCUCUGGGGGGUAAUAUUUACAUGGUUAGAUUGCAGGGAGACAAUGUAGGACAAUAAAAUUCAUUAUCGUAAAACUGCUCCUGAAAGCAGUCUUUUUCACAGAGGAAAUGUGCAGUAACAGUAGGUAAGAGUGAAAGACCAUUUUCUUUCCAUCC